rnacentral:tRNA from 1 species
GGAGAGGUCGCAUAGCGGUCUAGUGCGCGCGCUUGGAAAGCGCGUGUUCCGCAAGGAACCGAGGGUUCGAAUCCCUCCCUCUCCGCCA